CUGCCGGAGGCCACUGCUAUCGGGAUCCGACUAAGCCAUGCGAGUCGAGAGGGUUCGGCCCUCGGCGAACUGCUCAGUAACACGUGGAUAAUCUACCCUUAGGUGGAGGAUAACCUCGGGAAACUGAGGAUAAUACUCCAUAGAUCCAAGAUGCUGGAAUGCACUUGGAUUGAAAGCCCCGACGCCUAAGGAUGAGUCUGCGGACUAUCAGGUAGUAGUCAGGGUAACGACCUGACUAGCCUACGACGGAUACGGGUUGUGGGAGCAAUAACCCGGAGACGAUAUCUGAGACACGAUAUCGGGCCCUACGGGGCGCAGCAGGCGCGAAACCUUCACAAUGCGCGAAAGCGCGAUGAGGGGAUCCCGAGUGCUUGCUCGUAAGAGUAAGCUGUUUCUCUGUUUAAAAAGCAGAGAGAGGAAGGGCUGGGUAAGACGGGUGCCAGCCGCCGCGGUAAUACCUGCAGCUCAAGUGGUGGCCAUUAUUAUUGGGCCUAAAACGUCCGUAGCCGGCCUGAUAAAUGCCUGGGUAAAUUGUGUAGCUUAACUAUACAAAUUCCGGGUAGACUGUCAGGCUUGAGACCGGGAGAGGCUAGAGGUACUCCUGGGGUAGAGGUGAAAUUCUGUAAUCCUGGGGGGACCACCAGUGGCGAAAGCGUCUAGCCAGAACGGGUCUGACGGUGAGGGACGAAACCCUGGGGCGCAAACCGGAUUAGAUACCCGGGUAGUCCAGGGCGCAAACGCUGCUUGCUUGAUGCUAGCUAGGCUCCGGGCCUGGCUAGUGUCGGAGCGAAGGUGUUAAGCAAGCUGCCUGGGAAGUACGGUCGCAAGACUGAAA
rnacentral:rRNA from 1 species